AGAGGAUGAUCAGCAACACUGGGACUGAGACACUGCCCAGACUCCUACGGGAGGCUGCAGUCGAGAAUCAUUGUCAAUGCACGAAAGUGUGAACAUGCGACGCCGCGUGGAGGAAGACGGCCUUUGGGUUGUAAACUCCUGUCAGCAGGGAGUAAGGGUGGUAUAUUUAAUACGUAUGCCAUUUGAUAGUACCUGCAGAGGAAGUCACGGCUAACUCUGUGCCGGCAGCCGCGGUAAUACAGAGGUGGCGAACGUUGUUCGGAUUUACUGGGCGUAAAGGGUCCGCAGGCGGUCCGGUGUGUCAGAUGUGAAAGCCCACAGCUUAACUGUGGAAUUGCAUUUGAAACUGCCGGACUAGAGUACUGGAGGGGAGAAGGGAACACUUGGUGUAGCGGUGAAAUGCGUAGAUAUCAAGUGGAACACCGGUGGCGAAGGCGCCUCUCUGGACAGAUACUGACGCUCAUGGACGAAAGUUAGGGUAGCGAAAGGGAUUAGAUACCCCUGUAGUCCUAACCGUAAACGGUGUGCGCUAGGCGUGGGUGGCUUUACCCCCAUCCGUGCCUGAGCUAACGCAUUAAGCGCACCGCCUGGGGAGUACGGUCGCAAGAUUAAAACUCAAAGGAAUUGACGGGGACCCGCACAAGCGGUGGAGCAUGUGGCUUAAUUCGAUGCAACGCGAAGAACCUUACCUGGGCUUGACAUAUAGCUGCAUCCGACCCGAAAGGGACGGAGCCUUCGAGGGUGCUAUACAGGUGCUGCAUGGCUGUCGUCAGCUCGUGCCGUGAGGUGUUGGGUUAAGUCCCGCAACGAGCGCAACCCCUGUGUUUAGUUGCCAGCACGUAAUGGUGGGAACUCUAAACAGACUGCCUGUGAAAACAGGAGGAAGGUGGGGAUGACGUCAAGUCAGUAUGGUCCUUAUGUCCAGGGCUGCACACGUGCUACAAUGGGAUGUACAAUGGGAAGCUAAGCCGCGAGGUGGAGCAAAUCCUCAAAACAUCCCCCAGUUCGGAUUGUAGUCUGAAACUCGACUACAUGAAGUUGGAAUCGCUAGUAAAGGUAUAUCAGCUACGAUACCUUGAAUACGUUCCCGGGUCUUGUACACACCGCCCGUCACAUCAUGGAAGUGAGUUGCACCCGAAGUUGUUGAUCCAACCCGUCAAGGGAGGAAGGCACCUAAGGUGUGAUUCAUAACUGGGAUGAAGUCGUAACAAGGUA
rnacentral:rRNA from 1 species